rnacentral:pre_miRNA from 1 species
UGUUUUAUUUUAAGUGUAACCAUAAAAUUUCAUGCCCAAUUUUGAUCGUUCAUCUUAUUUGGAUUUUUUUAUAAUUAAUAUUUUUAUUAUUAUGAGAUAAUAAGACAUGAAUAGUUACUUUAUUUGUAACUUACGUUUUUAAUUUUUUUAAGUUUUUUAAAAGACGGACGGUCAAAGUUGAUCACGGAAAAUCAUGGCUGCACUUAAAAAUGGGACA